AUUGAACGCUAGCGGCAGGCCUAACACAUGCAAGUCGAACGAGUGGCGGACGGGUGAGUAAUAUCUGGGAACCUGCCUAGUGGCGGGGGAUAACUACUGGAAACAGUAGCUAAUACCGCAUACCAUCGGAUGUGCCCAGAUCGGAUUAGCUGGUUGGUGGGGUAACGGCUCACCAAGGCCACGAUCCGUAGCUGGUCUGAGAGGAGGACCAGCCACACUGGAACUGAGACACGGCCCAGACUCCUACGUGAGGCAGCAGUGGGGAAUAUUGGACAAUGGGGGAAAGCAUGAUGCAGCCAUGCCGCGUGUAUGAAGAAGGCCUUCGGGUUGUAAAGUACUUUCGGCGGGGAGGCGUUACCUGCAGAAGAAGCACCGGCUAACUACGUGCCAGCAGCCGCGGUAAUAC
rnacentral:rRNA from 1 species